rnacentral:sRNA from 1 species
UACGGGUACUAUGUUUGCUUGGGUUGCUCACAUUACUUGCACUGCUAUAAUUGCUGCGUUUGCUUACAUUGCUAUAGUUACUAUGGGUACUUCGGUUACUUACAUUACUUGCAGUGCUAUAGUUGCUGCGUUUGCUUACAGUGCUAUAGUUACUAUGAGAGCUUGGUUCACUUCCACUGCUAUGGUUCCUGCCGUUGCUUACACUGCUACAGUUACUAUGCGUGCUUGGAUUACKUACAUUACUUGCACUGNCUAUAGUUGCUGCGUUUACUUGCAUUGCUAUANGUUGCUGUGUUUGGUUACAUUGCUACANGUUACUAUGAGUGCUUGGRUUACUUACAUUACUUGCACUGCUAUAGUUGCUGCGUUUACUUGCAUUGCUAUAGUUGCUGUGUUUGCUUACAUUGCUACAGUUACUAUGAGUGCUAGGAUUGCUUACAUUACUUGCACUGCUAUAGUUGCUGUGUUUGCUUAGAGUGCUUUAGUKRCUAUGAGUGSUUGGUUUACUUGCACUACUAUAGUUGCUGCAUUUACUUACAAUGCUACAGUUACUAUGUUUGCUUGGGGUACUUACAUUACUUGCACUACUGUAGCUGCUGCGUUUGCUUACACUACUACAGUUACAGUGGUUGCUUGGAUUGCNUKRGUUGCUGCCUCUGNKUUACUUACUCCUYACUUGUACUGUACGUGUUCUUCUCUGUCAUGUCCAUAUYGUGUYGAUGYCUAKCAUAUAUAGCUGCUUUCANUGCUGCCUUYGCUCUGGCUACUUCUGUUGCUUYCMRKGKKUGUUUGUCUGGACAUGUUGUUACUAAUUUCAGGACAUUCUUUGUUUUGUUCAGAUCUAAAGAACCAUGGAAAGCGACA